rnacentral:misc_RNA from 1 species
GAUGACGGACUGGAUGUAAUUUUUGUAUUACACUGUCACGUGUUUGUAACGAAAAAUUCAGCGCAGUCUAGAAGAAAAAACACGUGUUUCUGUUUACAAAUCCAAACUGUCAUGAAGAGAAAACUUAGAGAUACAACUGAAAUGGUCUCUGAUGAUGAUGAUGAUGAUGAUGAUGCCAGUGAUGAUGAUGGAAAUAGCAGUGACAGUGAAGGUUCAGACAAGGGGGCAAGUGAUUCGGUGAAUGAAGAUGAUGAGAAGGCUGAUCUGCAGGCAUCUGUCAAGACUGGAUCUAAACAGAAGCGUGCAGUUGCUGAAAAUCAGUCUAAACAAUCUGGCGAGCCAGUCAGUAAAGCUGCCAGACUGUCAAAAGGUGAUCUGUAUAAACCACCGACCAACGAGGAGCUAAACCAACUGAAGGAAACAGAAAAUCUUUUCCAUUCAACAUUAUUUAGAAUGCAGAUUACAGAACUUCUGUCAGAAGUGAGUUUGAAAACAAAGAGGAGGAAGGAGAUCGAAAACACAGUUUCCACUUUGAAAGAUACAGUCAUGGGUUUAAAGAAAGGUGUCAAGUAUGAGCUGCAAGAUUAUUCAUGGUUAAAGGACUCUGGGAUAGAAGUUCCGUUAGCAGUGGAACACUCCAACGUUAAAGGCAGUUUUCACUUUAUUCCGCCAGUAGAUGUGAGGUUGUCGGGAAGUUUUGUCUUCGAGACUUGUAUAAAGCCAAAUGUUACUGUGGACCUGAUAGUUGUUAUGCCAAAGGCUUUUUUUGAGUCCAAGGAUUUUCUGAAUCAACGUUAUUUGAGGAAGAGAGCCUUGUAUCUCAGUAAAAUAGCUGCUGAAUUGUCAAACAACUCGAUUGUUGAAGAGAUGAAAUUUACAUAUCUCCAUGGCAACCAUCUUAAACCUAUUCUGUAUAUUUCUGCUAAAGUUGAAGGUCACAAGAGAGUAAAAAUACACGUUCAUGCUGUCCCAGAAGAAGGCACAUUCAAGAUGAACAGAUUUCAUGUAGAGAAAAACAAUGUGCGCUCACAGUGGUUCCAUGGACUAGAUGAAACAGAUUAUCAACCAGAGAAUGAUGUACCUACUCCAUUCUAUAACAAUUCUAUACUUGAAGACCUGACAGAAUCUUGCUUGUCAGAGGCAGCCCAGCAGACACUCUCCAGUUCCCCUUCAGUGAAGGAAGGAAUAGUACUCCUGAAAGUAUGGCUCAGACAGAGAGAGUUAGACAAGGGAUUUGGCAGUUUCAGUGGAUAUAUUAUGACAAUGUACGUCUGCUAUCUACUGUCACAGAACAAACUCAAUUCACUGAUGAGUAGUUACCAGAUAUUUCGGAAUACCUUGUUAAAACUUUCACAAAGUGAUUGGUUAGAGGCUGGGAUCUCUAUGUGUGCUGUAUCAACUGACACCAAUAUGCCAGCUCUGCAUGAGUUCCAAAAGUACUUUGACAUUGUUUUUGUUGAUCCUUCUGGCUACUUCAAUAUAUGUUAUGCUGUGAACCGGACUGUCUUCAAGAGGGUUAAUCAUGAAGCUGCAUUGGCAAUGAAAAUCUUAGACGAUCGUGGUAUUGACAGCUUUGAAAAGCUCUUUAUGAAGAAAGUUUCAUUUUCCUUGACUUUUGAUCAUCUUUUCCAUGUAAAUGUAUCACAAGUUCAAGAAACUGUAGAUAAAUUAGGACUCUCAGACAGAGUGGUUGAUUAUGGUAGAUCAAAUAUCCAAGUUUGUCUUUCUGCAUUAUCAGAGGUGUUGGAGAAAGCCCUUGGUCAAAGGAUACAUCUUCUUCAGUUUGCAUUACAAGAAACAUCAAUGUGGAAUGUUAGAGAGAAACAAGUAUCCAGAGAGACGGAUGAAAAACUGAUGUGUGGACUCAUACUGAACCCUGAAUUUGCAUUUAAUGUCUUGGACAGGGGACCUUCAGCUGACAGCUCUGAGGCUGAAGAGUUUAGAAGAUUUUGGGGGAAUAAAUCAGAGUUGCGACGGUUUCAAGAUGGAGGCAUUUGUGAGGCAGUGUUAUGGUUGGACAAAACAAACAUUGCUGAGAAACAGCUGGUCUGUGAACAUAUUGCAAAAUAUGUCCUCAAUAGGCAUGCAUGUAUUAAACCAGGGGAUGUCAGCUAUAUAGCAGGUCAGUUAGACAGCAUUUUGCACCUGCCUGUGACAAAUGUCUGUGAGGAUUCCGUUCUGUAUGGUACUGGAGAAGAAGAGAACAUGGCUGUCAUUCAUGUUUAUGACGAUCUGUGUAAAAUGUUACGCAGACUGACAGAUCUUCCUCUGACCAUAAAUUCUGUACAAGGAACAUCAGCUUGUUUCAGAUAUACUGAGGUGUUUCCACCAAUGCCAUGCACUUUUCGUCACCGAGAGUUGUCUAACCUGUCACAAGGAGUGAAGAGAUUUGUUCCUGCAGUAGAUAGAAACUGUCCAUUCUAUAUACAUACAUUAAAAGUAAUUUGUACGUUAGAAGGAAGCGGAAAAUGGCCGGAUGAUCUCGAAGCGAUGAAAAGAUUAAAGGGUGCUUUCCAUAUACAGCUUGCUGAUGCAAUAAAAUCAAGAUUUAAUCUACCUGUCAGGGUGGGCAUAGGAUUUAUUGAUGUUCUGAAGGAUCACUAUGUAUUUCGCCUGGUGUUAGCCUACACUCGAGAGAUUGCCAUGCUCAAGUCAGUACGAUCACCGGACGGGAAACUGUUAAUGAGGGACACAGAAGAGGCGUUAACUCUAGAGAGAGAGACAGUGGUUUUGCCUCAUCUUACAAGCAUAUUACAUGGGCUACAACAGCAACACCCAUCCUUUAGUAUAACGUCCCGGCUUGCCAAGCGCUGGGUUUCAGCUCAUAUGUUGUGUGAUUAUAUAGACCCAGUUGCUAUAGAGCUGUUGGUGGCAUCGCUGUAUUUGUCACCAGCACCAAACCAGGCUCCAAGUUCAGGGUUGUGUGGAUUUCAGAGGUUUUUAGAGCUUCUCUCAACAUUUGAUUGGAAGGCAACACCAUUACUGAUUAACUUAAACAAUGAAUUUACAGAAAAGAAGUGACAUUUUAAACUUCAUUGAAACAAGACAUACCAUUUCAUGUUGAUGGUACUUUUUGUGCCAAAUAGGGCACAUACCUGUCACAUGGUUGGUGACUUGGCUGAAAUUCCCACCAAGUUUUCUAAAGAAAGGUCAACCAUGCCAUUGAUGUUUAUAUCAACUCCUUUGGACAAGUAUAGCAGUCACUGGACAAAACAUGGACCUACAGCUAACAUUCUCACAAGGC